rnacentral:miRNA from 12 species
UCUUCAUAUAUAUAUAUGAAGAUGUGUGUGUGUGUGUGUGUGUGUAUAUAUAUAUAUAUACACACAUAUAUAUACAUACACACACACAUAUAUA